ACUUUACAACAGAUGACAGAAUCAGAAUGCAUGUAUUAUAUUUUUGCUAAUAAUACAGCCAAUGAUGGAUGAUAUGUUUGAUUUUGCUAGUGAAAAAUAGUCUUGGAUUUAAAGCUUCACGUAUUUGGAUGCCCGAUAAAGGCUUUCUGUAGUUCAUGUAAUAUUACCCUGAAACUCAACCCAGAUGCCAUGCAGAUCUUGUAUUUUCUUGGAACCUUACUUUGCCUCCAUUUGUGUAUGGACCAAACAAUGUUUCCUGUUGAUUCAAGAAUUAUCAGUGGUGUUUUUGUA
rnacentral:misc_RNA from 1 species